UACAGAGGGGGCAAGCGUUGUCCGGAUUUACUGGGCGUACAGCGCGCGCAGGCGGUUGCGUAUGUGAGCGGUGACAUCCGCGGGCUCAACCCGCGGCGGCCCGCUUACACAGCGCGACUGGAGGCAGGGAGAGGGAUGUGGAAUACCCGGUGGAGCGGUGAAAUGCGCAGAUAUCAGGAGGAACACCGGUGGCGAAGGCGGUUCUCUGGGCAUUACCUGACGCUGAGGAGCGAAAGUGUGGGGAGCGAACAGG
rnacentral:rRNA from 1 species